rnacentral:rRNA from 1 species
CCUACGGGAGGCAGCAGUGGGGGAUAUUGCACAAUGGGGGGAACCCUGAUGCAGCGACGCCGCGUGGGUGAAGAAGCGCCUCGGCGCGUAAAGCCCUGUCAGCAGGGAAGCAAAUGACGGUACCUGAAGAAGAAGCACCGGCUAACUACGUGCCAGCAGCCGCGGUGAUACGUAGGGGGCAAGCGUUAUCCGGAUUUACUGGGGGUAAAGGGGGCGCAGUCGGGGAUGAAAGCCAAGAGUGAAAGCCCGGGGCCCAACCCCGGGACUGCUGUGGGCACGGCGUGGCUGGCGUGCAGGAGGGGCAGGCGGAAGUCGUGGUGGAGCGGUGAAAUGCGUAGAUAUCACGAGGAACACCGGUGGCGAAGGCGGCCUGCUGGACUGCGACUGACGUUGAGGCCCGAAAGCGUGGGGAGCGAACAGGAUUAGAUACCCGAGUAGUC